UCAUUCAUUUGUGCACUGGAGUAGCACUUUUAACUUCCUUCAAGAACUUUUCCUUUGCACUCACAACUUGGCUAACUGUUUGGCUCAAGAGGCCUAGUUUUCAGCCUAUCUUGGCUUUCUACAUGCCUUCCUCACUAAGCUUAAUCACUUCUAGCUU